CAGUAGCCGCGGUAAUACGAAGGGUGCAAGCGUUACUCGGAAUUACUGGGCGUAAAGCGUGCGUAGGCGGCUAAUUGAGUCGGAUGUGAAAUCCCCGAGCUUAACUUGGGAAUUGCAUUCGAUACUGGUUAGCUAGAGUGUGGGAGAGGAUGGUAGAAUUCCAGGUGUAGCGGUGAAAUGCGUAGAGAUCUGGAGGAAUACCGAUGGCGAAGGCAGCCAUCUGGCCUAACACUGACGCUGAGGUACGAAAGCAUGGGGAGCAAACAGGAUUAGAUACCCCAGUAGUCCCUGUCUCUUAUAC
rnacentral:rRNA from 1 species